ACGAAAACAAAAAGCCCCCUAGGAAUUAAAUACUAUCUCAUUUUUACAGAUAACCCUGAAGCUAAGGAAGCUGCUCCAAUGUUAAGAGAUCAGGGAGUUAAGAAAAAUCAGCAAAGGGACUGAAAAAGGGCAAAGGCAGGAAGACAAGACAACCAGGGAAAUGGGAGUAAGGUCAUCGGCUGAGAAGAAGGAUGGAGACAGAGUUGGAGAUUCCUCCUUUGCCUGAGAGCUUUGGAAAAUAAAUGGAAGCUGCUG